UGGGGCGUAGGUCAAUUGGCAGACCGCCGGACUGUUAAUCCGGAAGUUGCAGGUUCGAAUCCUGCCGCCCCAG
rfam:Gemmatimonadetes bacterium RBG_16_66_8 RBG_16_scaffold_13270, whole genome shotgun sequence.